CCGUAGGAGAACCUGUGGCUGGGUCACCUCCUUUCUAAAGGAACCGCGUCGUUCGCGCAAUUGGUGUUGUGCGGAUGUCGCAGCUUUCCGCCUCUUGGAAGACUGUUUCGUAUUUGCCCUAUCUAGUUUUGAAGGAUCGCUUAUGGAUCUUUUCAGUAUUUAUUGCAGGCACGGCGCUGCAAAAGCAAAUUGUGAGGCUACAGGUGAAACGCUUGUAGCCCUUAUUUUGCGGCAAAAAGGCCCGCGGGCCUGUAGCUCAGUUGGUUAGAGCGCACCCCUGAUAAGGGUGAGGUCGAUAGUUCGAAUCUAUCCAGGCCCACCAUCUGAGAUUUCAAAUGUAGAAUUUGAGAUUUCAAAGGGGGUGUAGCUCAGUUGGCAGAGCACAUGGUUUGCAACCAUGGGGUCAGGGGUUCGAAUCCCCUCACCUCCACCAAGCCUCGGGUAAAGGAUUAGGAAACCUCUCCCAAGCCAAAUCUGACCUUUGCUAUGGCCGUGCUGUAAUAUUAGGCUUCGACGACAAACGUCGUUUUGGUGCUCUUUGAUAAUCGAAUAGGCAAAAUUCCCAAAAUAGAUUCUUCUCGAAUCGAAUAGAUUUGGAGAGGAGCUAGGCGUAAGAAUGUCCGGUGUGCUGACCGGGUUUGUGAUGAGCAAAUUUUAUGGUCAAGCUACUAAGGGCACAU
rnacentral:tRNA from 1 species